rnacentral:lncRNA from 1 species
UUUAGGCCUGUGUUAGGCUGGCAACCCAUUAAAACUCCUCUGCUUUUUAGCCGGUCUGGAGCUAAUAAGCCGGCCCCUCCCAAUUUACACAUCUCCUGUGAGAUCCAGUGUCUCUCUGUCACUCAUUACCAAGCUCCUUACUAAAUGUCAUCACAAAGAUGCCACAUCACCCCUCUUAGUCAUCUCCCCACUUCCUCUUGCUGGCCAUGGCCAGAAAGAAAUCAGGGGCCGUAGGGAGGCCUAGAAAGUGACCACAGAGUUGGGGGUGGCUGUGGGAAGUGGAUGGGAAUGGCCACUGCUGAGCUGGCCACAGAGACUGUGACAAAGACAAAGGCCUCUGUGUUUGGGAUGGCAGGGAGGGGGCCAGAGGCCGAGUCAGGGCUGGCAUGCUGAUAGUCUGGGAAAGGCCUCCCAGGGCAGAGGAAAGCCCACAACGCCACUCUGAGUUGGCCGCUCUUAGCACUUGGAAGUAGCUUAGUUGGGUCGUGAUACACAUAUAAUUUACAAACAGUGAAGCACACAGAUCGAUGUGUUUUUGACAAAUGAAUACGCCCAUGUGACCCACACCGGAUCCAGAUAUGGAACAUUUCCAUCAACCCACAGAAUUUCCCUCCUGUCCCUUUUGUCAGUGUGCUCCCACCCACUGUCUCCGUGUUCUGAUUCGUAUCAUCAUAGAUUAGUUUUGCCUGCUCUUGAACUUCAUAUAAAUGGAAUCAUGUGGUAGGUUCUAUUUUGUGUCUGGCUUCUUAGCUCAGCAUAAUGUUUUUGAGAUUCAUCCAUGUUGAAUGAUGUAUUUUGCUUCUUU